GCUGAACGCUGGCGGCGUGCCUAAUACAUGCAAGUCGAGCGCAGCGGGGACGGGUUAGUAACACGUGGAUAUCUUCCUAUAAGACUGGGAUAACUUCGGGAAACCUGCGCUUACCCGGAUACUUCUCGAUUGAUCCGCGCUGCAUUAGCUAGUUGGUAAGGUAACGGCUUACAAAGGCAACGAUGCAUAGCCGACCUGAGAGGGUGAGCGGCCACACUGUAACUGAGACACGGUCCAGACUCCUACGGGAGGAAGCAGUAGGGAAUCGUCCGCAAUGGGCGAAAGCCUGACGGAGCAACGCCGCGUGAGUGAUGAAGGUCUUCGGAUCGUAAAACUCUGUUAUUAGGGAAGCGGUACCUAAUCAGAAAGCCACGGCUAACUACGUGCCAGCAGCCGCGGUAAUAC
rnacentral:rRNA from 1 species